CCUUAAACGGACGAGGCCGGUGCGGGGAGGGCGGAGACUGGCCUCCCGUGCUGCGCGCGCGGCCGGCCUAAACCUUGGUCCCCCGUCGCGGGCUUCACGACAAGUGGUGGUUGAAACCCUCAACUCGAAUGCGAGUCGUGCCGGAACCCGCGGCCGGGGAGGCCGGACGACCCCCCAGCGAGCCCCUUCCCGAAGGAGCGCUUGCCACGACCGCGACCCCAGGUCAGGCGGGGCUACCCGCUGAGUUUAAGCAUAUCAUAA
rnacentral:rRNA from 1 species